GAGGAAAGGCUGCGGAACGUCAGGAAACGGCUGAGAUCAACCAGCAGGCGGCGAAGCACGGCACCGACACCACCACAAACGCCACAUGAUGGCGCCCUUGCAAGGGCUCUUAUACCAGAAUGUACCAUAUCAGACGAACGUGCAUCACAGCUUAAAGAAUGGUUGAGAAACAAUUCUCAGCCCCUCAGCCAGAUAGAGUCCUACAUGGAGAACACGGCAGUCUACAGGGCCAAGUGGAUUAGGGACAACAAUUGGACCAUCGAUCAGAUCCUCGAAGAGUUCCCUCGCCUAAUGACCAAAGGCAUGAUUGCACAGGACUUUCUUGUCCUGCAUGGGGAUGCUGCUUCAAAAUUGUUUGAAAAGUGGCUACCCAUUUAUGCUGACAAGAUCCUGUUCCUGGCAAGACAGGAGGGGAAGUUGACAUUGCCC